CCUACGGGUGGCAGCAGUCGAGAAUCAUUCACAAUGGGGGAAACCCUGAUGGUGCGACGCCGCGUGGGGGAAUGAAGGUCUUCGGAUUGUAAACCCCUGUCAUGUGGGAGCAAAUUAAAAAGAUAGUACCACAAGAGGAAGAGACGGCUAACUCUGUGCCAGCAGCCGCGGUAAUACAGAGGUCUCAAGCGUUGUUCGGAAUCACUGGGCGUAAGGCGUGCGUAGGCUGUUUCGUAAGUCGUGUGUGAAAGGCGCGGGCUCAACCCGCGGACGGCACAUGAUACUGCGAGACUAGAGUAAUGGAGGGGGAACCGGAAUUCUCGGGGUAGCAGUGAAAUGCGUAGAUAUCGAGAGGAACACUCGUGGCGAAGGCGGGUUCCUGGACAUUAACUGACGCUGAGGCACGAAGGCCAGGGGAGCGAAAGGGAUUAGAUACCCUAGUAGUC
rnacentral:rRNA from 1 species